rnacentral:rRNA from 1 species
GACGAACCGUACGAACGUUAUUCGGAAUCACUGGGCUUAAAGGGUGCGUAGGCGGCGCGACAAGUUGGGUGUGAAAUCCCUCGGCUCAACCGAGGAACUGCGCCCAAAACUGUCGUGCUCGAGGGAGACAGAGGUGAGCGGAACUUAGGGUGGAGCGGUGAAAUGCGUUGAUAUCCUAAGGAACACCGGUGGCGAAAGCGGCUCACUGGGUCUCUGCUGACGCUGAGGCACGAAAGCUAGGGAAGCGAACGGG